rnacentral:lncRNA from 1 species
CUCGGCCUGGGCGGGGUUUUCAAGUCGGCCGGCUGGUAAGUAGCAGCGUAAGCAGGUGUGAGUGGCUCUGUUGCAUGUGUGCUUUAGUCAGCAGAGGGAAGAGGCGCUUUGGAGUUGUCAAAUUGCUGGGCUUUGUUGUUGUUGUUGUUGUUUUUCCUUUUUUACUGUCACCUCGUUAGGUUCUUGAAAGGUCAGUUUGCGUUUUUGAAUGAACAGGUAGUGUUUGUGCUUAUUUACGGAAUAAAAUAAUGCAAUUCAGUCCAUGCACUUAAACUUCCCUUGCCUUGUCCUUUCAGGCCUUCGACAACUGUUGUGAAUGUACUCCAUGCAAUCACGGAAUUACAGCUUUCAUAUAAGUCCAUUCUGAAAGCUGAAGGCUGUUUUCUGAUAAAUGAUGAGGGGAGGCCCAACUUCGGUUUUGGAAUCUACAUGUAUGAGAUUCCUGAUCCCUGGGAAGGACCCUUGGUAGGAGUUGUUUGUGCUUGGUGUGAUGAGAGUCAGCCUUUAAUCCAGCAUACAGGAGGCUGAGGAAUGUGGAUCUCUGUGAGUUCAAG